AGUGAACGCUGGCGGUAGGCCUAACACAUGCGAGUCGAACGGCAGCACAGUAAGAGCUUGCUCUUACGGGUGGCGAGUGGCGGACGGGUGAGGAAUACAUCGGAAUCUACUUUUUCGUGGGGGAUAACGUAGGGAAACUUACGCUAAUACCGCAUACGACCUACGGGUGAAAGCAGGGGAUCUUCGGACCUUGCGCGAUUGAAUGAGCCGAUGUCGGAUUAGCUAGUUGGCGGGGUAAAGGCCCACCAAGGCGACGAUCCGUAGCUGGUCUGAGAGGAUGAUCAGCCACACUGGAACUGAGACACGGUCCAGACUCCUACGGGAGGCAGCAGUGGGGAAUAUUGGACAAUGGGCGCAAGCCUGAUCCAGCCAUACCGCGUGGGUGAAGAAGGCCUUCGGGUUGUAAAGCCCUUAUGUUGGGAAAGAAAAGCAGCAGGUUAAGACCCCGCUGUUCUGACGGUACCCAAAGAAUAAGCACCGGCUAACUUCGUG
rnacentral:rRNA from 1 species